AUGAACGCUGGCGGCGUGCUUAACACAUGCAAGUCGAACGGAAAGGCCCAAGCUUGCUUGGGUACUCGAGUGGCGAACGGGUGAGUAACACGUGGGUGAUCUGCCCUGCACUUCGGGAUAAGCCUGGGAAACUGGGUCUAAUACCGGAUAGGACGAUGGUUUGGAUGCCAUUGUGGAAAGUUUUUUCGGUGUGGGAUGAGCUCGCGGCCUAUCAGCUUGUUGGUGGGGUAAUGGCCUACCAAGGCGUCGACGGGUAGCCGGCCUGAGAGGGUGUACGGCCACAUUGGGAAUGAGAUACGGCCCAGACUCCUACGGGAGGCAGCAGUGGGGAAUAUUGCACAAUGGGCGCAAGCCUGAUGCAGCGACGCCGCGUGGGGGAUGACGGCCUUAGGGUUGUAAACUCCUUUCGCUAGGGACGAAGCGUGUUUGUGACGGUACCUGGAGAAGAAGCACCGGCUAACUACGUG
rnacentral:rRNA from 1 species